UGUGAACAAUAUAAUAGUUAUACACGACUUUAUCGUCGUUGCGCUAAAGGCGUGCAAAACUUUUAUUAAAACUAGAGUUUAUUCCUUUCACAAAGCCCAUGAAGAUUUUGCUCCUCUAAACGAGGUCCUAGAAGGAUCUUAAGAGAUAGAUAGAUAAAGAAGAAAUCAGAGUACGUGAUGGGCACAAUGGAUCCACUGGCUGAGGUGCGAAAGAUCCAAGCUGUAUGUCCUGAUGUGAAAGUAAUCGUAAAAGCAUAUGACGCAGCAGGGGAGUUAUAAGUUUACGGUGUGUCUUGGUUUGUCUGUGAGCUUAUUGUUGCCAAACGAAUGGAACCAUGCCAGCGCAACACUGUGGGAAGUCUGUUCAUUGUGGGUCUCUUGCUGUAUGCUGUUUCAAAUGAUGCCAGCCGAAUUCCACAUCUCAUGAACUGGAUGUAUGGCGUUCCACCACAGCGGUUUUUCUGCAAGUAUCUUUCGCGUACAACCAAAUUGUUAAAUGAGCUGUGUUUGAAAUUGAGUUUCAUGUUGAUACCUACUAUUACCACCAAAUAUGGCGUACCUACAUCUUCCAAAAAAGUCUGCGACACUCCUGUUAUUCCUUUAGUGUCGCAAGAAAUAAGGGCAACGGUGAUCACCUACCAACAAGUUACCCGUACGCUGGGUUGUCCUCCUAUUCCAUAAAAAGGCGAUUUGAUGCGGGAUUUUCUUUCUAAAAGCUGAUGUGUAAAUAAUAAUAAUGACUUUAUUUCCAAAUAUUACAUUAAAUAAUAGUAUUACAAGUUAAAAA